rnacentral:rRNA from 1 species
AGAGUUUGAUCCUGGCUCAGGACGAACGCUGGCGGCGUGCCUAACACAUGCAAGUUGAGCGGAGAUAUAUGGAGCUUGCUUUAUAUAACUUAGCAGCGAACGGGUGAGUAACACGUAGAUAAUCUAUCCUAUACUGGGGGAUAGCCCGAUGAAAGUUGGAUUAAUACCGCAUAUAGCUAUAUAGUUGCAUGAUUAUGUAGUGAAAGAUUUAUUGGUAUAGGAGGAGUCUGCGGCACAUUAGCUAGUAGGUGAGGUAAAGGCUUACCUAGGCGACGAUGUGUAGCCGGUCUGAGAGGAUGAACGGCCACAAUGGAACUGAGACACGGUCCAUACUCCUACGGGAGGCAGCAGUGGGGAAUAUUGCACAAUGGGGGAAACCCUGAUGCAGCAACGCCGCGUGAGUGAAGAAGGUUUUCGGAUUGUAAAGCUCUGUUAGCAGGGAAGAGGAAGGACGGUACCUGC